GCCUGGCUGGUUCAGUUGGUAGAGCAUGCAACUCCUGAUUUGGGGGUUGUGGGUUUGAACCCCAUGUUGGGUA
rnacentral:tRNA from 1 species